AACGAACGCUGGCGGCAUGCCUAACACAUGCAAGUCGAACGAGACCUUCGGGUCUAGUGGCGCACGUGUGCGUAACGCGUGGGAACCUGCCCUUAGGUUCGGAAUAACUCCCCUAAAGGGGUGCUAAUACCGGAGAGUGUCUUCGCGCCAAAGAUGUAUCGCCUUUGGAUGGGGCCGCGUUGGAUUAGCUGGUUGGUAGGGGAAAAGCCUGCCAAGGCGACGAUCCAUAGCUGGUCUGAGAGGAUGAUCAGCCACACUGGGAAUGAGACACGGACCAGAAUCCUACGGGAGGCAGCAGUGGGGAAUAUUGGACGCUGGGCGAAAGCCUGAUACAGCAAUGCCGCGUGAGUGAUGAAGGCCUUAGGGUUGUAAAGCUCUUUUACCCGGGAUGAUAAUGACAGUACCGGGAGAAUAAGCACCGGCUAACUACGUG
rnacentral:rRNA from 1 species